rnacentral:tRNA from 2 species
GCCCCAGUAGCUCAGUCGGAUAGAGCAACUGCCUUCUAAGCAGUGGGUCGCGGGUUCAAUUCCUGCCUGGGGCGCCA